AUCUGGCUGAUGAGUUCCGAAUGGGACGAAACGAACGUCCUGGAU
rfam:Schistosoma mansoni strain Puerto Rico chromosome W, complete genome